UACGUAGGUGGCAAGCGUUGUCCGGAUUUACUGGGCGUAAAGAGCGCGAAGGCGGUCGUCCAAGUCGCGUGUGAAAGCCCCCGGCUCAACUGGGGAGGGUCACGCGAUACUGGUCGACUCGAAGGCAGGAGAGGGUAGUGGAAUUCCCGGUGUAGUGGUGAAAUGCGUAGAUAUCGGGAGGAACACCAGUGGCGAAGGCGAAUACCUGGCCUGUUCUUGACGCUGAGGCGCGAAAGCUAGGGGAGCAAACGGG
rnacentral:rRNA from 1 species